CGUUCCCGGGCCUUGUACACACCGCCCGUCAAGUCAUGAAAGUCGGUAACACCCGAAGCCGGUGGCCCAACCCUUGUGGAGGGAGCCGUCGAAGGUGGGACUGGCGAUUAGGACU
rnacentral:rRNA from 1 species